GUCGGGGAAGACAACUCAAGAGAGAGCGGGCAGGAGUUAAUUGACUUGGAUUACUGGAGCCGGGGAAGGCAACUCAAGAGAGAGCGGUAGGAGUUAAUUGACUUGGAUUGCACCCGGGAACCGAGCAGUGCAAGUCUGCAACCUCAUCAUGACUAUCACUAAAGAAGACAACAUGUCUCUUAUGGCACAAGACAUGUCUCAAUUUCAGGAUGCAUGUGUGAGAGAUCCUCUACUCUCCUAAGAUAUUGAGGUCUGGUACUUGCGCCAUCUAAUCAGUAAUCACAUAAAAUAUUAUUUCCAAACAAAAUGAAAUGUAUUGUUCACAUAGAUUCACAUGUAAAGUCAUCAACCUUACAAUCUACAUGUUAGUACUUCACAACUCCUUUUGGUAAACUGAUCAUGCAUACAACUGAUGAAAUUCGCCGCAUUUUAGUUCUAUGUUAUGUGUUGUAUUACUAUUUUCCUACUACCCUUGGUAAACCUGAUUUGACUGUUCUAUUGUGUAUCUUUGGCACCCUUUCGACUCCCUUUUGUAUAAGAUUAUUUCUAUAAGAAACUGCAUUACUAGUUUGCUUUAUUUAAUUGCUCUAUAGAUUAUGUUUCUACUUAUAGUUAUGUUUUCUGGCUUUUGCUUCCAAAGGUUGCGCCUGGGCGCAACCGGUCAUCUAGUACGUUAAAAGAGAAAAGAAGAACUUCCCACCAGUAAGGCACAUUCAAUAUUUCCCUUUUUAGAAGAAUUUUUUUUGCAUUUGGAUUAUUAUCACAUAUAGAAAUACCCUAUCCUAUCCAUUUUGAAAUCUUGGUUCAACUCCUUCAAUACCGUAUUCAAGAUGUUCUAUCUUUGCAUUUAUUGUGAUUCUUUCUCAAUAAUUUUUCAAAUUGGAAUAAUUUUAUUACUUCAAUGAAAUCUAUUUUUCUUUUUAAAAAAAUGAAAGACUAUUUCAAUUCCUAUAUAACUGUUAUGUAUCAAAAUAUGAAAUUUUCUAGUUGUUUCUUCGUAAACAAUCUUCUUGCUUACCAUUAGUAUCUUCUGCAACUUUUUUGGAACGAAUCCACUUUUCUAGGAAGAUGGAACAUUUUUGGAUAAUGCACCCUGGUUUUUUCUAGUAAAACCAUAUGGUUUUUUUAUGGAUCCUCUUAUGCAUUAUGUUCGAUAUCAAGGAAAGGCCAUUUUUGCAUCAAAAGGUUCAGGAUGGGGUUUUCUCAGGAAUCAGGAUGUACCACUGCCGCGUCAACGUCUCGGGAAUCAGGAAUUCAGGAUGCUCGGUACGGUUUCCAGGAACAUUGCAAUCCUGCAGCUUCAGGGCCAAGCGCAAUCCAAUGUUCUUCCUACCAACAUUGUUCUCCCCCUCAGCACAAAACUGGCGUGGCACGUGACUUUUCAGGUCCAAAAUGGGGAGUGGAAACUCCAGCAAUGUGUUAUUGAUCUUGCUCCUCAACGUGUACAUCUGUUUCAUCGUAUAUCUCUUCCUGCACAGCACAAAAUUGGAGAACAGUCAAUAUAAUAUUGGAAAAAAAAUCUAUAGAUAUGCUUGAUUCAGGGAGAACAAACAGCUAGCCGCUUAAAAGCUUUAUCUAAGGCCACAAUGAUCGACAAGGCUGAAUAAUUACUGAUCACUCAAGCUCAGCCCACCUUACGUCAU